CGCCUAACACAUGCAAGUCGAACGCAGUAGCAAUACUGAGUGGCAAACGGGUGAGUAUAAUGUGGGAAUCUGCCUUUUGGUUUGGAAUAACACGGGGAAACUUGUGCUAAUACCGGAUAAGCCCUUACGGGGAAAGUUUUAACGCCGAAAGAUGAGCCUGCACUUGAUUAGCUAGUUGGUAAGGUAAAAGCUUACCAAGGCAACGAUCAAUAGCUGUUCUUAGAGGAAGACCAGCCACAUUGGGACUGAGACACGGCCCAGACUCCUACGGGAGGCAGCAGUGGGGAAUCUUGCACAAUGGGGGAAACCCUGAUGCAGCGAUGCCGCGUGAGUGAAGAAGGCCCUUGGGUUGUAAAACUCUUUCGUCGGGGAAGAAAAUGACUGUACCCGAAUAAGAAGGUCCGGCUAACUUCGUGCCAGCAGCCGCGGUAAUACGAAGGGACCUAGCGUAGUUCGGAAUUACUGGGCUUAAAGAGCUCGUAGGUGGUUAAAAAAGUUGAUGGUGAAAUCCCAAGGCUCAACCUUGGAACUGCCAUCAAAACUUUUUAGCUAGAGUGUGAUAGAGGUAAGUGGAAUUUCUAGUGUAGAGGUGAAAUUCGUAGAUAUUAGAAAGAACACCAAAUGCGAAGGCAACUUACUGGGUCACUACUGACACUGAGGAGCGAAAGCAUGGGUAGCGAAGAGGAUUAGAUACCCUCGUAGUCCAUGCCGUAAACGAUGUGUGCUAGACGUUGGAAAUAUAUUUUUCAGUGUCGCAGCGAAAGCAUUAAGCACACCGCCUGGGGAGUACGACCG
rnacentral:rRNA from 1 species